GACGAACGCUGGCGGCGUGCCUAAUACAUGCAAGUAGAACGCAGUUGCGAACGGGUGAGUAUCGCGUAGGUAACCUGCCUCAUUGCGGGGGAUAACUAUUUGAAACGAUAGCUAAUACCGCAUACUGUGGGAUGGACCUGCGUUGUAUUAGGUAGUUGGUGAGGUAAAGGGUCACCAAGGCGACGAGACAUAGCCGACCUGAGAGGGGGGUCGGCCACACUGGGACUGAGGCACGGCCCAGACUCCUACGGGAGGUAGCAGUAGGGAAGCUGCGGGAAUGGGCGGAAGGCUGAACAGGCAAAGGCGCGGGAGUGAAGAGGGGUUUCGGAUCGUAAAGGUCUGAUGUUAGUGAAGCGGUAGCUAACCAGAAAGGGACGGCUAACUACGUGCCAGCAGCCGCGGUAAUAC
rnacentral:rRNA from 1 species